rnacentral:rRNA from 1 species
AUACGUAGGGGGCGAGCGUUGUCCGGAAUGAUUGGGCGUAAAGGGCGCGUAGGCGGCCCGGUAAGUCUGGAGUGAAAGUCCUGUUUUUAAGAUGGGAAUUGCUUUGGAUACUGUCGGGCUUGAGUGCAGGAGAGGUAAGUGGAAUUCCCAGUGUAGCGGUGAAAUGCGUAGAGAUUGGGAGGAACACCAGUGGCGAAGGGGACUUCCUGGAGUGUAACUGACGCUGAGGCGCGAAAGUGUGGGGAGCAAACAGGAGUAGAUACCCUGGUAGUCCACACUGUAAACGCGGAAUGCUAUGGUUAGGGGGUAUCGACCCCCUCUGUGCCGCAGUCAACACAUUAAGCAUUCCGCCUGGGGAGUACGGCCGCAAGGUUGAAACUUAAAGGAAUUGACGGGG